rnacentral:rRNA from 1 species
AUCCUGGCUCAGGGAUGAACGCUAGCUACAGGCUUAACACAUGCAAGUCGAGGGGCAGCAUGAACUUAGCUUGCUAAGUUUGAUGGCGACCGGCGCACGGGUGAGUAACACGUAUCCAACCUUCCGUUUACUCAGGGAUAGCCUUUCGAAAGAAAGAUUAAUACCUGAUGGUAUGAUGAGAUUGCAUGAUAGCAUCAUUAAAGAUUUAUCGGUGUACGAUGGGGAUGCGUUCCAUUAGGUAGUAGGCGGGGUAACGGCCCACCUAGCCUACGAUGGAUAGGGGGUUCUGAGAGGAAGGUCCCCCACAUUGGAACUGAGACACGGUCCAAACUCCUACGGGAGGCAGCAGUGAGGAAUAUUGGUCAAUGGGCGAGAGCCUGAACCAGCCAAGUAGCGUGAAGGAUGACUGCCCUAUGGGUUGUAAACUUCUUUUAUACGGGAAUAAAGUUAGCCACGUGUGGUUUUUGUAUGUACCGUAUGAAUAAGGAUCGGCUAACUCCGUG